rnacentral:lncRNA from 1 species
UAUACAAUUUUACAUAAAACACGUGAAAAUUUUAAAAGAAUUCAGGAUAUUCAUAGAAGGCUGCAACUUGCAAGAAUUUAUGAGCACUUAUUGUUAGUGCCCCCCAAUUGUGAGUGUUUAUGACGCGCUUUGACCUGCGUGGAUUUACACUCUUCAAUGAGCACCAUGCUUUUUUUUUGUGUGGGGGGGGGGGGGUGUGGCCCGGUGGGUUUCUUUCAUUCCAAAAUUAUAAUCCGAUAUAAUUUUUAGAAUAUUAAAUUAACGAUGGCGAUGGCAAUUGCACCAUUUAACAAUAGUGGGUCGCAGGUACACAUUAGACAUUACUCAGAUUUGCCAAUUUGCCGUUAAAUCUUAGCUACUCGGCUACUCCUUUCACAUGGGUGACUCAUACAUGUCCGAUUCUGAUGACAAACAUUCUUCACCGUCCGAUCAAAGCCACGUAGGAUCAGAUGUUGCCAAAGUGAAAUCUUUGUGAUGACCCUCGUUGAUUAUGUCACGGGUGGGGCCAGUUAUCAUUUGUUUGGACAUUGGAGGCGUGGGAUUUUCAAAACGACAUUGACUUGGAUGUUGUAAAAACGAAAAAGCACCCAGAUUAAAAACGACACGCUUUUUUUCGUUGAUGGGUUCCAUUAUUUUGGUCCCACAGCAUUGGAAAUAAAAUUUUUUAUUAUGUAUAAAAUAAUUGCUACUUGGUAUCAACUUAUGCUCUCCUUCUUUUUGUUUUUAAAUUAUAUUUAUGCUCCUUUAAUUUAUAAAUUCUUUUACUUUUUUCAUGAUUAAAAUCCUAUAAGCUUGUUUUUUUAGGAAAUAAUGUUUCAGUAUCAACUAUCAAACUAUAGAGCACGUUGAAAGUAAUUUUUUGGGACUGUAUAAAAGAGUCAAUAUUAAUAAAUAGGGAUAUUAUCAUUUUACUACUAAAGUUUUACUGACAUAUCAUGUCAGUACCAAGGUUCGCCGAAAAGUACAUUUUACUACCAAAGUUUUGCGCCAUUAUCAAUUUACUAUCAUUCCGUUAACAACGUCAAAAAUUUAUUANNN